GGCUCAGUGGUCUAGUGGUAUGAUUCGCGCUUCGGGUGGAUAGCCCACGUCUGUAAACAGGCUAAAGAAUGUGCGAGGUCUCGGGUUCGAUCCCCGACUGAGCCC